rnacentral:rRNA from 1 species
AGCAGCCGCGGUAAUUCCAGCUCCAAUAGCGUAUAUUAAAGUUGUUGCAGUUAAAAAGCUCGUAGUUGAAUUUCGGGGUUAGUAGGUUGGUCAUGCCUCUGGUAUGUACUGGUCUCACUGAUUCCUCCUUCCGGAUGAGCCGUAAUGCCAUUAAUUUGGUGUUGCGGGGAAUUUGGACUGUUACUUUGAAAAAAUUAGAGUGUUUAAAGCAAGCUAACGCUUGAAUACAUUAGCAUGGAAUAAUGAAACAGGACGUUCGAUCCUAUUUUGUUGGUUUCUAGGAUUGACGUAAUGAUUAAUAGGGAUAGUUGGGGGCAUUAGUAUUCAAUUGUCAGAGGUGAAAUUCUUGGAUUUAUUGAAGACUAACUACUGCGAAAAGCAUUUGCCAAGGAUGUUUUCAUUAAUCAAGAACGAAAGUUAGGGAUCGAAGACGAUCAGAUACCGUCGUAGUCUUAACCAUAAACUAUAGCCGACUAGGGAUCGGAUGAUGUUAAUUUUUAUGUACUUCAUUCGGCGCCUU